ACCUGCCUGGCUCAGUCGGUAGAGCAUGCGACUCUUGAUCUCAGGGUUGUAAGUUGGAGUCCCACGUUGGGUG
rnacentral:tRNA from 1 species